rnacentral:rRNA from 1 species
UGGGGAAUUUUGGACAAUGGGCGCAAGCCUGAUCCAGCAAUGCCGCGUGCAGGAUGAAGGCCUUCGGGUUGUAAACUGCUUUUGUACGGAACGAAACGGCGAGCUCUAAUACAGUUUGCUAAUGACGGUACCGUAAGAACAAGCACCGGCUAACUACGUGCCAGCAGCCGCGGUAAUACGUAGGGUGCAAGCGUUAAUCGGAAUUACUGGGCGUAAAGCGUGCGCAGGCGGUUAUGUAAGACAGAUGUGAAAUCCCCGGGCUUAACCUGGGAACUGCAUUUGUGACUGCAUAGCUAGAGUACGGUAGAGGGGGAUGGAAUUCCGCGUGUAGCAGUGAAAUGCGUAGAUAUGCGGAGGAACACCGAUGGCGAAGGCAAUCCCCUGGACCUGUACUGACGCUCAUGCACGAAAGCGUGGGGAGCAAACA